CAAUCCGGUGGUGAAUAACGUGUACUGCAAAACACAAAAUAAUGUCUGCAUGCACAUAGUUUAUAUUUUGUGUAUUUGUGUUUGUAUUUAGAGAUAUUAACAAUAUUUCUCGGUUGUUAGUACUUCAUCAUUUUCUUUGAUUACCUGAACUUUCUUGUUAUUAUAGUUUCACAUUGUUCAACUCGCAUUAUUAAUCGAUAACUACAAUUUGUAUUACAAAACAUUUAUUUUUCAAAAGUAAGAUCCUCUAGAGCCAUUCGACAUUUAAAGUUUGUUUGAAUGCUUUGGACAAAUGUGUACAACUAACAAUCUAUAUACUUAAUAACACACUAAACUCGCACAGCUGCAACAACAUUAAACCGUGAGGUCAAAUUUAAAAGAAAUAAAUUAAAUAAAACAGUGGUAUCCAACCUGGGCGUCGAGAGCCCAUUUCAAGCCGCACGUCCUGAAACGCAGACGCAACAUAUUUCAUUGCCGGGAAAAGAGAACCAUAAAAAAAAAAGAAAAAAACAUUUUCAGUUCAUCUACAUAAUCCUGAUCAAGGCAGUGGGCAGGCUGACCAGAGUAAGUUACAAGCCAGACUAACGGAGUCCCCCCCCCCACACACACACACACACACACACACACACAGACACGCACAAGUCUGCCAUGAUAAGCCUAACCCUUGGUCCUUUGGUGGAUAACGAUGGUCAACCAAGAGAAACAAACUCCAAGCAGACACAGCCCGAAGGCAUGAUGGACGGAAUUCAUUGUAGAAAUGUAAAUUAAAAGGAUACAGAAGCAGAGGUGUUGUAGGGAAACUUCAGAAGUUUUAAAAAGAGAAAGCAGAUUUUGAAAAGAAGCAACCGGAAAAAGCCCCAUCCUUCUCUGCCUUCUCCCGGUUUCAUUUCUCCGGCAUUAAGAAGCGUUGCUUUGACGCACCUGUUGACCAAUCAGGGAAGAGAUGUCCUGAUUGGUCAGAAUGGAGCAGGGAGGAGACUGAAAUCGAAACUCUCACAUUUACAGCACCUUUAAUAAAAACAAUAAUCUGGUGUUACAGUUCAUCAUCAUCUCCCACUUGUUUCUCUUUAGCAGGGAGAGUGUGGUAGCAUGACCACCGGAGACCCAACAGGAUUGAGAUAUGGCACAAAAUGUAAAAUAAAAUGUAAAAAUAAAAAAGGCCAACAAAUGUUUACAAGAGUGCACUGGAAUGGGAAUGAGCCGAUGACGAGCGUAGCGCACGCUGGCCCCUGGUACACCUGGGCGCCAUGACAUCUAGCCAGCGCUAUUUAGUGCAAAUCACCUCCAGUGUAACAGUAGCGGGCAGCUAGCAUUGGAUGGACAGAUGACAUAAGAUAAGACCUGAUUAGCCCAGAUGCUAACAAUGCUAAACAAGCAACAGCCCUUAAUAAUAAUAAUGAAUUCACGAUUCUGUGUCAGCAUCCCUCCUCUCAUUCACACACACACACAAACAAACCUAUACAAAUCUAUACAAGGGCUAUAUAAAACUCUUCUUUCUAUCUGCUCAACAGCACUCGGAUCCGUGUUCAAAAAUAAUCCUCUGCGCCCGACCUCCGGGCUCCGUGUCAGCGCCUCCCGACCGGCCGUCGGUCACGCCCACUCGGCGUGGCUUGGUUUCUAUGGCGAUGGGCCGUUGCUAGAUUCUGGAGAACCUGCAGGAUGGAAAAGGUCCAGGGGGGCGUUGGCCAGCAGGUCUGCGUCCAGCAGGUCUGCGUCGACGUACUGCGCACCGAACACACGCAGCAGCUGGUCGAAGUAUUUACACUCCUGCUUCUCCGUCCCGCCCCUGCAGACAGGAAGCCACAACACCGUGAGUGACAGCAGAACCAGCGAAUGGCGGCUUGGGUCAGUUAUGGAGCCGUUGAGGAUCAGUGGAUUCAAGGAAAUUAAAAACGAACGAACCCUGGAGCCCCAGAAUGUGGAGCGUGAGCGGAGACAUCACCAGGAUCAAUAAUAAUACGGACCCUUUGUGUAUUAAUUAGGUUUAUAUGAACACAUGUCCUAGCGUACCGCGGUCAGUAGACCAUCAAAGAGAUAAGAUACUUUAUU
ensembl:lncRNA